rnacentral:tRNA from 1 species
GGAAGCGCAUGGGGUCCGGUGACCCUUCUGGUCUUCAAAACCAGCGAGAGGCGUCUUUGGCGUCUCUGGUCGGUUCGACUCCGACACGCUUCCGCCA